rnacentral:rRNA from 1 species
GUUUUUUAGGAAAAGGAUUAGAGACCCUUCGUACUAAGUUGAGUAUUUUGUGUCCAUGGUGUAAACUAAAAGGAUUUGGCAGCCGAUGAGGUUCUUCCGGGGGAGUGUGUGGCUUAAGAGAUAGUCCACUUAGGAUCUUGCCGCCGCUAUUAGUUAGUGUAUAUCCGGUUUAAGAUUCGUGAUUUGUGUCAUCGAGUGUCAUUUUGUUCUAAUUGAAUCCAGGUC